UACGGAGGGGGCUAGCGUUGUUCGGAAUUACUGGGCGUAAAGCGCACGUAGGCGGCUUUGUAAGUUAGAGGUGAAAGCCCGGGGCUCAACUCCGGAAUUGCCUUUAAGACUGCAUCGCUAGAAUUGUGGAGAGGUGAGUGGAAUUCCGAGUGUAGAGGUGAAAUUCGUAGAUAUUCGGAAGAACACCAGUGGCGAAGGCGACUCACUGGACACAUAUUGACGCUGAGGUGCGAAAGCGUGGGGAGCAAACAGG
rnacentral:rRNA from 1 species